UCAAGCUAUAAAGAGCGCAGGGUGGAUGCCUUGGCACUAAGAGCCGAUGAAAGACGUGAUAAGCUGCGAUAAGCUUCGGGGAGGAGCAAAUAUCCUUUGAUCCGGAGAUCUCUGAAUGGGGAAACCCGGCUGAGCAAACCUCAGUCGUCGUAUGGUGAAUUCAUAGCCAUACGUCGGGAACCGCCUGAACUGAAACAUCUAAGUAGGGCGAGGAAAAGAAAGAAAACUCGAUUUCCAAAGUAGCGGCGAGCGAAAUGGAAGGAGCCUAAACCGGAGCGCGUGCGUUCCGGGGUUAUGGACCGCGUCAAGUGAGUCGUAUGGUAAUGGAACGGUCUGGAAAGUCCGGCCAGAGAGGGUGAAAGCCCCGUACAUGAAACCAGAAGACAGCGAGCGGGAUCCGAAGUACUGCGAGACACGUGGAACCUUGCAGGAAGUCGGGGGGACCACCCCCCAAGGCUAAAUACUCCUUAGUGACCGAUAGCGCAUAGUACUGUGAAGGAAAGGUGAAAAGGACCCCGGGAGGGGAGUGAAAGAGAACCUGAAACCCUGUGUUUACAAGCUGUGGAAGUUCUUUAUAUGAACAACCGCGUACUUUUUGUAGAACGGUCCGGCGAGUUGCGGAUACUGGCAAGGUUAAGCACUUAAGGUGCGGAGCCGAAGGGAUACCAAGUCUUAACAGGGCGUUAAGUCAGUAUACGCAGACCCGAAACCGGGUGAUCUAUCCAUGUCCAGGUUGAAGUUGUCGUAAAAGACAAUGGAGGACCGAAGCCACAUCCGUUGAAAAGGGUGGGCAUGAGGUGUGGAUAGGGGAGAAAUUCCAAUCGAACCCGGAGAUAGCUGGUUCUCCUCGAAAUAGCUUUAGGGCUAGCCUCGUGAGAGUCUGCUGGAGGUAGAGCACUGAAUUCCCUAGGGGGCGUCAAAGCCUACCAAAGGAUAUCAAACUCCGAAUGCCAGCCAGAUGCUUCACGGGAGUCAGACGGCACGAGAUAAGUUGGGUCGUCAAAAGGGAAAGAGCCCAGACCUGCAGCUAAGGUCCCAAAGUGUGUGUUAAGUGGAAAAGGAUGUGGGAUUUCAGAGACAACUAGGAUGUUGGCUUAGAAGCAGCCACACAUUCAAAGAGUGCGUAAUAGCUCACUAGUCGAGAGGUCCUGCGCCGAAAAUGUCCGGGGCUGAAACACAACACCGAAGCUCAGGAAUGUAGUAAUACAUUGGUAGAGGAGCAUUCUUAGGACGCCGAAGCGGUACCGGAAGGAGCCGUGGAGUGCUAAGAAGAGAGAAUGCCGGAAUGAGUAGCGAGAUGGAGGUGGGAAUCCUCCAGGCCGAAUAUCUAAGGUUUCCAGAGUAAAGCUGAUCUGCUCUGGGUAAGUCGGGGCCUAAGGUGAGGUCGAAAGACGUAGCCGAUGGACAACAGGUUGAAAUUCCUGUACUGCAGUAUAACAGAACUGUGGGGACGCAGAGGGAGAGCACUAGCGGGAAUGGAAUCCCGUGGCAAGCGAGGUAGGAGUAGAGUUGGCAAAUCCGCUCUAUAAUCCGAAGACGUGAAGCAUACCGAACAAAAGUAGGGAAAUGUGUGAGCCAGCUGCCAAGAAAAGCCGCUAUUGUUUGUACUGUACCCGUACCGUAAACCGACACAGGUAGGUGAGGAGAGAAUCCUAAGGCCGACGGGAGAAGCAUUGUUAAGGAACUCGGCAAAAUGACUCCGUAACUUCGGGAGAAGGAGUGCCAGCGAGAGCUGGCCGCAGAGAAUUGGCCCAAGCAACUGUUUAGCAAAAACACAGGUCUAUGCAAAACCGUAAGGUGAAGUAUAUGGGCUGACGCCUGCCCGGUGCUGGAAGGUUAAGAGGAGAGGUUAGCGGUAACGCGAAGCUUUGAAUUUAAGCCCCAGUAAACGGCGGCCGUAACUAUAACGGUCCUAAGGUAGCGAAAUUCCUUGUCGG
rnacentral:rRNA from 1 species